rnacentral:rRNA from 1 species
UGCCUAAUACAUGCAAGUCGAGCGAACAGACGAGGAGCUUGCUCCUCUGGCGUUAGCGGCGGACGGGUGAGUAACACGUGGAUAACCUACCUAUAAGACUGGGAUAACUUCGGGAAACCGGAGCUAAUACCGGAUAACAUGUUGAACCGCAUGGUUCAACAGUGAAAGACGGUCUUGCUGUCACUUAUAGAUGGAUCCGCGCCGCAUUAGCUAGUUGGUAAGGUAACGGCUUACCAAGGCAACGAUGCGUAGCCGACCUGAGAGGGUGAUCGGCCACACUGGAACUGAGACACGGUCCAGACUCCUACGGGAGGCAGCAGUAGGGAAUCUUCCGCAAUGGGCGAAAGCCUGACGGAGCAACGCCGCGUGAGUGAAGAAGGUCUUCGGAUCGUAAAACUCUGUUAUUAGGGAAGAACAAAUGUGUAAGUAACUAUGCACGUCUUGACGGUACCUAAUCAGAAAGCCACGGCUAACUACGUGCCAGCAGCCGCGGUAAUACGUAGGUGGCAAGCGUUAUCCGGAAUUAUUGGGCGUAAAGCGCGCGUAGGCGGUUUUUUAAGUCUGAUGUGAAAGCCCACGGCUCAACCGUGGAGGGUCAUUGGAAACUGGAAAACUUGAGUGCAGAAGAGGAAAGUGGAAUUCCAUGUGUAGCGGUGAAAUGCGCAGAGAUAUGGAGGAACACCAGUGGCGAAGGCGACUUUCUGGUCUGUAACUGACGCUGAUGUGCGAAAGCGUGGGGAUCAAACAGGAUUAGAUACCCUGGUAGUCCACGCCGUAAACGAUGAGUGCUAAGUGUUAGGGGGUUUCCGCCCCUUAGUGCUGCAGCUAACGCAUUAAGCACUCCGCCUGGGGAGUACGACCGCAAGGUUGAAACUCAAAGGAAUUGACGGGGACCCGCACAAGCGGUGGAGCAUGUGGUUUAAUUCGAAGCAACGCGAAGAACCUUACCAAAUCUUGACAUCCUCUGACCCCUCUAGAGAUAGAGUUUUCCCCUUCGGGGGACAGAGUGACAGGUGGUGCAUGGUUGUCGUCAGCUCGUGUCGUGAGAUGUUGGGUUAAGUCCCGCAACGAGCGCAACCCUUAAGCUUAGUUGCCAUCAUUAAGUUGGGCACUCUAAGUUGACUGCCGGUGACAAACCGGAGGAAGGUGGGGAUGACGUCAAAUCAUCAUGCCCCUUAUGAUUUGGGCUACACACGUGCUACAAUGGACAAUACAAAGGGCAGCGAAACCGCGAGGUCAAGCAAAUCCCAUAAAGUUGUUCUCAGUUCGGAUUGUAGUCUGCAACUCGACUACAUGAAGCUGGAAUCGCUAGUAAUCGUAGAUCAGCAUGCUACGGUGAAUACGUUCCCGGGUCUUGUACACACCGCCCGUCACACCACGAGAGUUUGUAACACCCGAAGCCGGUGGAGUAACCUUUUGGAGCUAGCCGUCGAAGGUGGGACAAAUGAUUGGGGUGAA